CCUACGGGAGGCAGCAGUAGGGAAUCUUCCGCAAUGGACGCAAGUCUGACGGAGCAACGCCGCGUGAGUGACGAAGGUUUUCGGAUCGUAAAACUCUGUUGUGAGGGAAGAACACGUACCAACUAACUAUUGGUACCUUGACGGUACCUCACCAGAAAGCCACGGCUAACUACGUGCCAGCAGCCGCGGUAAUACGUAGGUGGCAAGCGUUGUCCGGAAUUAUUGGGCGUAAAGCGCGCGCAGGCGGUUCCUUAAGUCUGAUGUGAAAGCCCACGGCUCAACCGUGGAGGGUCAUUGGAAACUGGGGAACUUGAGUGCAGAAGAGGAAAGUGGAAUUCCACGUGUAGCGGUGAAAUGCGUAGAGAUGUGGAGGAACACCAGUGGCGAAGGCGACUUUCUGGUCUGUAACUGACGCUGAGGCGCGAAAGCGUGGGGAGCAAACAGGAUUAGAUACCCUGGUAGUCCACGCCGUAAACGAUGAGUGCUAAGUGUUAGGGGGUUUCCGCCCCUUAGUGCUGCAGCUAGCGCAUAAGUACACUCCGCCGUCGGGAGGUACGGCCGCCGACGGCGUGAACGUACAAGUAGAAGUUAGUACGGCGUGAGACGUAGCCGAACGGACGACGACGAGGGAGGUUAGGG
rnacentral:rRNA from 1 species